CCUACGGGUGGCAGCAGUGAGGAAUAUUGGUCAAUGGUCGGGAGACUGAACCAGCCAAGUCGCGUGAGGGAUGACUGCCCUAUGGGUUGUAAACCUCUUUUAUAAGGGAAUAAAGGCGGGUACGUGUACCAUGAUGUCUGUACCUUAUGAAUAAGCAUCGGCUAACUCCGUGCCAGCAGCCGCGGUAAUACGGAGGAUGCGAGCGUUAUCCGGAUUUAUUGGGUUUAAAGGGUGCGUAGGGGGUUUUUUAAGUCAGUGGUUAAAGGUGGGGGCUCAACCUAGAUUUGCCAUUGAUACUGGCAGUCUCGAGUUCAGGCGAGGUAGGCGGAAUGCGUGGUGUAGCGGUGAAAUGCUUAGAUAUCACGAAGAACUCCGAUUGCGAAGGCAGCUUACCAGACUGCCACUGACGCUGAGGCACGAAAGCGUGGGUAUCGAACAGGAUUAGAUACCCUAGUAGUC
rnacentral:rRNA from 1 species